CUCGUGGCGAGCACGGUGGCAGAGGGAAGAGAUGUUGCCGCCGAGGCCUGCAGCAUGGAGCCAGCAGGUCUGGGCUAUGUUUCUGGCUCUGCCAUGGCAUUGGCCUUCCUGUGAGGCUCAGCAAAGCCCCCAGAGGUGGGUCCCAUCGGGACCUGAGCUCCUCCGCGGGUUUAAUAGAGUGAAAAGAGCAUUCAGUGUAGAAGCUGGUCGUGAGCAGAGGGGAUUCAGCACAGCGACUUAACAUCACACUGUGCACAAUUUCUAUAUGGCUGGUGUCCAGCUCCAGCACUCCGUUUCUGUGUGGCUCUCCUGUCGGUGGGCCAGCUCACAGCACGGUGGGGAAGUCCCUGGGUGAGGCCCACAAAAGGAGUGCAAAAACCCCCUGCCAGGCACUGGCUGGCGCUGCCUGGUGUCUUAGCUGUCCUCUGCGGUGAACUUCUGAUGCAACUUCCAGCCACAGGAAAGAGCAUCUCAUCCAAAGAGCUGACUUGCCUCCAGGCUGCAUACCAGCAUAAGGGGAAGAGGGGAUCUGGCUCUACCGCCGUGUGCCUGUGACCAGUGCAACCCUCCCUACUACCAAGAAGGGCAAGGGAAGGGGUAUCAAGCAGCCUUUUGUCUGUGCAGCACUGAGCACUUGGAAAGCAGAAGAGGAUUAACAACAGCGACACAACAGCCAUAGCUCUCAAAAGGAGAAACUGAUAAGCUGGGGAUUUUCCUGUCUGCUGACCCACUCUUUGAUACUCACAACUAAUAACCUCCCCAUGAGUUAGCUUGCACACAAGCAGAGCUUCUUUUCAACCUAGUCUGUAAGUGUCCUUCCCAUGAUGGUGGCUCUCUUGGCUGUAGUGACAUCUGAAGCUUGGGAGGGAUGUCUUGCUGGGUAGCUAAUGAGUAGGGACAGAGAAGAUUUCCAGGGCAAUGAGGUGAGAGAGGAUGAGAAUGACUCACAGUGUAUGUAAGGGAAGGAUUUCAAAGACAGGUUGGAUGGGGCUUUGGGCAACCUGGAAGGUGUCCCUGCCAAUGGCAGUGGGGUUGGAAUGUGAUGAUAUUUAAGGUUCCUUCCAACCCAAAUCAUUCCAUGAUUCUGUUAUUACAAGAAUGGGGAGGAGGAAGUUGCA
ensembl:lncRNA